rnacentral:rRNA from 1 species
CUACGGGACGCAGCAGUGGGGAAUAUUGCGCAAUGGGCGAAAGCCUGACGCAGCAACGCCGUGUGGGGGAUGAAGGUCUUCGGAUUGUAAACCUCUGUCAGGAGGGAAGAAGUGGUAUUUGUCUAGUAGGCAGGUACUUUGACGGUACCUCCAGAGGAAGCACCGGCUAACUCCGUGCCAGCAGCCGCGGUAAUACGGAGGGUGCAAGCGUUAUUCGGAAUAACUGGGCGUAAAGCGUACGUAGGCUGUCUGGUAAGUCAGGUGUGAAAGCCCACGGCUCAACCGUGGAAUUGCAUUUGAAACUGCUGGACUAGAAUCCGGGAGAGGGUAGCGGAAUUCCUGGUGUAGGAGUGAAAUCCGUAGAUAUCAGGAGGAACACCGGUGGCGAAGGCGGCUACCUGGUCCGGUAUUGACGCUGAGGUACGAAAGCGUGGGUAGCAAACAGGAUUAGAUACCCGCGUAGUC